rnacentral:tRNA from 1 species
UGGCAUGUGGCUCAGUGGUAGAGCCUUUGCCUAGCGAGCGAGAAGUCCUGGGUUCCAACCCCAGUGCCAA